AGUGAACGCUGGCGGUAGGCCUAACACAUGCCAGUCGAACGGCAGCACAGUAAGAGCUUGCUCUUACGGGUGGCGAGUGGCGGACGGGUGAGGAAUACAUCGGAAUCUACUUUUUCGUGGGGGAUAACGUAGGGAAACUUACGCUAAUACCGCAUACGACCUACGGGUGAAAGCAGGGGAUCUUCGGACCUUGCGCGAUUGAAUGAGCCGAUGUCGGAUUAGCUAGUUGGCGGGGUAAAGGCCCACCAAGGCGACGAUCCGUAGCUGGUCUGAGAGGAUGAUCAGCCACACUGGAACUGAGACACGGUCCAGACUCCUACGGGAGGCAGCAGUGGGGAAUAUUGGACAAUGGGCGCAAGCCUGAUCCAGCCAUACCGCGUGGGUGAAGAAGGCCUUCGGGUUGUAAAGCCCUGUUGUUGGGAAAGAAAAGCAGCAGGUUAAUACCCCGCUGUUCUGACGGUACCCAAAGAAUAAGCACCGGCUAACUUCGUG
rnacentral:rRNA from 1 species